UACGUAGGGUGCAAGCGUUGUCCGGAAUUAUUGGGCGUAAAGAGCUCGUAGGCGGUCUGUCGCGUCGGCUGUGAAAACCCGAGGCUCAACCUCGGGCCUGCAGUCGAUACGGGCAAACUAGAGUACUGCAGGGGAGACUGGAAUUCCUGGUGUAGCGGUGAAAUGCGCAGAUAUCGGGAGGAACACCAAUGGCGAAGGCAGCUUGCUGGGACGGUACUGACGCUGAGGCGCGAAAGCGUGGGGAGCAAACAGG
rnacentral:rRNA from 1 species